rnacentral:rRNA from 1 species
GACGUAGGGCGCGAGCGUUGUCCGGAUUUAUUGGGCGUAAAGAGCUCGUAGGCGGCUUGUCGCGUCGUCUGUGAAAUCCCGCGGCUCAACCGCGGGUCUGCAGUCGAUACGGGCAGGCUAGAGUUCGGUAGGGGAGACUGGAAUUCCUGGUGUAGCGGUGAAAUUCGUAGAUAUCAGGAGGAACACCGGUGGCGAAAGCGGCUUCCUGGCCCGACAUUGACGCUCAUGUACGAAAGCGUGGGGAGCAACAGG